CUGUAGCACAGCCUGGAGCCUGACUCGUCCUGUAAAUGUAGGAAGAAAUAGAAGCACAGGACUCUCCACGGUGAAGGACACGCCCCGCCCAGGAUCCGCUCAGUGGAUAUCUGGUAUACAAGAUCCUUCUCCUGAUUGACGCUUCAAGGCUGGCAGGCAAAAGAUGGCGGAGAGUAUAAUAAAUCUCACCCUAGAGAUCCUCUUCUGGCUUACUGGAGAGGACUACACAGUAGUGAAGAAGACCUCUAGUGAGCGCUGUCACUACCCUGUGUCUGAAGAUUGGGGAAGAACCCUGAGCCCAAUCAUGGGGCCUCCACCUCACCCCCUGAUACAUGAGGAAGUCAAUAGAGAGAAGAUCCUAGAACUCACCAACAAGAUGAUUGA